rnacentral:lncRNA from 1 species
CUUAGGCCUUCAAUGCCGCUUCCCUUCCUUGAUACCUCCUGCCUAAUUGCUGGACUUCCUGGUGCCCGAGUGCGCUGAGUGCACUUGUCUUCUCAGCCUUCCUAAGCAUUCGCUCGUGCAAUAAGACAUUUGGAAGGUUUUUUUGCCAGUUCAUCAGCUUUUAGGCAUUGAGGGAGGACAGUGUCUCCUGGCACGGCAUUUGUACAGAGCCUGAGAGGAACGCAGCUCGUCAGCACUGCAGGUGGCACAUGUGGCACAUCUCCUCACCGCACAGAUCCUUCCCGAGGUCCAGCUCACCUCUCUCCUCAAGGCCACGCAAAACGUCCUGACCUCGUAGACUAACAACUGGCUUUCCUUAACAAAACAUGUGGUGUCAGCACCAGCCAGAAACGCAUCGCCCUCUGUAAGCAGGUGUCCUGAAAUAAAAGGCCAGAGGGUGGCUUGUAAAGAGUCAGUGAAUGCCAGUCCAAAGCAUGAUGAAAUCUUUCACGGGAGAAGAAAAAACAAGGACUAAAUAUGAUGGUCCCCAAAAAACUGGUGAUAACACCCAAACAGCUGUGCAGCCAAGAAGGAUGGUGGAUGCCUGCCGAGCCUUUGUGUCUUGUAACCAAACGCUGUGAGGGGAGCUUAGCAUCACUAUGCUCAUCCUCACUCCAAAUUGUAGGAGACAGGAUGUCACCCAGCAAGAGCUGGAGAUGGCUUGGAUCUUCUGAGCUGAGCUCUGUGUGGACCAUCAAGUGCACUGUGCCUGCGGAGCUGCCAGUUAUGCUGAGUUUUUCUUUGUGCUCUUGUUUUGAAGACACUAGUACUAAAGGCAAGCAUCAGUCUGACAGUUCUGAAAACUGAAAUCUCUUUAUCCCCUAUGAAGGAAAGCAAACCAACCACAAUCUGGCUUCUUUCAGGCUUCUCCUGUUCAAGCCCAGUGUGGGAGCUGUACCCUGGCAGGCACGAGGGGUGUGUAACCCACUGCCCGCUUGUUCCUGAGUACUUCUGCAGAGACUUUUGGUGAGAAACUCAAGCACAUGGCUGGUUUUGCUCCGUCUUUAUUAUGCUUUUACUCCCCAGACCACAGCCCAGGAGAGACGUGCUGUUAUUGCUCGGUGCCAUGAAGUAACACGGUGCUGCAGACAACAAAAGAAGCUGACUGCAGAGCGGGGACCUCUGCAUCUCCAGGUCCCCAGCUUGGCAACCUGGUCAAUGGCUCUGGUUGUUUCAGUUCUAGGAAACAGGCUGAUGCUAAUGACCCUGAACUAUUAUUUGCCUACUGUAAUACAGGGAAAUGAGGGCUAGAUGUGAGGAUUUGCAGCUUGCUGCCUUUCCCCGCUCUCCUUCCCUGGAAGAGUUUUGCAAAAACAACUCGGCACUGGCCGGACACCCAUCCCCAUGGCUGGUAGCGACAUCCCCGCUCCCAGGGGGCCCUACCCUGCAAUACUCCACGCUGUCGUCUGCAGGCCUUGUGGAUGGGAACUACAUACCUGGAGCUCCUGAUACAGGGGCUAUGGAGGAACACCAGCUCUCCUCGUGGGAGGCAGGGUACCCUGCCUCUUCCUUCUGAAUGUGCUUUAUGGAAGAGCAGCAAGGGCUGGGUGCACGUUGCGUGUCCCCACAGCCACGUGAGGCAUGGCACGUCGGUCUGGGGCUGGCCGAAACGCGUUGUGUGAUGCAUCUGGCACGGAAACCUUUUCCCAGCUCUUCAUGCCAGGCUCUUCUGGACACCAGGAAAGGAGUGGGCAGCUGUUUGGCAGCCUUGGCCUGCUGACCAUCGCCUCCUUCUUUUGUGCCCCAGCGCCUCUCUGGGGCUCGUGAGCACAGAUGGGCCGGGCCAGGUGCAGGAUGGCCGGUGUCA